AACAUAUUCCCUCUGUCCAACAAAGGAUGUCUCAAUUUUGACUAAAUUUGAGUGUAUCUACACUAAGUCAUGUAUAGAUAUAUCCAAAUUUUGACAAACUUAACACAUCUUUUGUUGGACGGAGGAAGUACGUG
rfam:Brachypodium distachyon strain Bd21 chromosome 1, whole genome shotgun sequence.